rnacentral:rRNA from 1 species
GAUGAACGCUGGCGGCGUGCUUAACACAUGCAAGUCGAACGAACCUUCGGGUUAGUGGCGGACGGGUGAGUAACGCGUGAGAAUCUGCCUCAGGAGGGGGAUAACGGCUGGAAACGGCCGCUAAUACCCCAUAUGCCGCGAGGUGAAAUGAAUUUCGCCUGAGGAUGAGCUCGCGUCUGAUUAGCUAGUUGGUGGGUAAGAGCCUACCAAGGCUUCGAUCAGUAGCUGGUCUGAGAGGAUGAUCAGCCACACUGGGACUGAGACACGGCCCAGACUCCUACGGGAGGCAGCAGUGGGGAAUUUUCCGCAAUGGGCGAAAGCCUGACGGAGCAACGCCGCGUGAGGGAUGAAGGCCUCUGGGCUGUAAACCUCUUUUAUCAAGGAAGAAGAUCUGACGGUACUUGAUGAAUAAGCCACGGCUAAUUCCGUG